GAUGAACGCUGGCGGCGUGCCUAAUACAUGCAAGUCGAGCGAACAGACGAGGAGCUUGCUCCUUUGACGUUAGCGGCGGACGGGUGAGUAACACGUGGGUAACCUACCUAUAAGACUGGGAUAACUUCGGGAAACCGGAGCUAAUACCGGAUAAUAUUUCGAACCGCAUGGUUCGAUAGUGAAAGAUGGCUUUGCUAUCACUUAUAGAUGGACCUGCGCCGUAUUAGCUAGUUGGUAAGGUAACGGCUUACCAAGGCAACGAUACGUAGCCGACCUGAGAGGGUGAUCGGCCACACUGGAACUGAGACACGGUCCAGACUCCUACGGGAGGCAGCAGUAGGGAAUCUUCCGCAAUGGGCGAAAGCCUGACGGAGCAACGCCGUGUGAGUGAUGAAGGCCUUCGGAUCGUAAAACUCUGUUAUUAGGGAAGAACAAACGUGUAAGUAACUGUGCACGUCUUGACGGUACCUAAUCAGAAAGCCACGGCUAACUACGUG
rnacentral:rRNA from 1 species